rnacentral:rRNA from 1 species
UACGUAGGGGGCAAGCGUUGUCCGGAAUUAUUGGGCGUAAAGAGCGCGUAGGCGGUCCGGUAAGUCGGUUGUGAAAGUCGGGGGCUCAACCCUCGGAUGCCGAUCGAUACUGUCGGGCUAGAGUCCGGAAGAGGCGAGUGGAAUUCCUGGUGUAGCGGUGAAAUGCGCAGAUAUCAGGAGGAACACCGAUUGCGAAGGCAGCUCGCUGGGACGUUACUGACGCUGAGGUGCGAAAGCGUGGGGAGCAAACAGG